UGUGUGAGGUGAAGGUCCAAAACCUUCUGAGAGAAAAAGAAAGAAAAGAAAGAAAAUUGGGCGUAGGGUUUUCAGUGUGUUCCCUAGGGUUUCAGUCUGGGGUUCGAAAAGUGAGUUAGUGAGCUAAGAGUGUUGUGAGCCCACCAAAUUCAAGGGAGAGCAUCAUCUACCUCUCAGACACAUUUGCUGAUGAUUCAGAGCAUCCGAGGAGUCAGCAGACAUCGAUCGAAGGAGUUCGAUCAGUA
rnacentral:lncRNA from 1 species